AGAGUUUGAUCCUGGCUCAGGAUGAACGCUGGCGGCGUGCCUAAUACAUGCAAGUCGAGCGAACGGACGAGAAGCUUGCUUCUCUGAUGUUAGCGGCGGACGGGUGAGUAACACGUGGAUAACCUACCUAUAAGACUGGGAUAACUUCGGGAAACCGGAGCUAAUACCGGAUAAUAUUUUGAACCGCAUGGUUCAAAAGUGAAAGACGGUCUUGCUGUCACUUAUAGAUGGAUCCGCGCUGCAUUAGCUAGUUGGUAAGGUAACGGCUUACCAAGGCAACGAUGCAUAGCCGACCUGAGAGGGUGAUCGGCCACACUGGAACUGAGACACGGUCCAGACUCCUACGGGAGGCAGCAGUAGGGAAUCUUCCGCAAUGGGCGAAAGCCUGACGGAGCAACGCCGCGUGAGUGAUGAAGGUCUUCGGAUCGUAAAACUCUGUUAUUAGGGAAGAACAUAUGUGUAAGUAACUGUGCACAUCUUGACGGUACCUAAUCAGAAAGCCACGGCUAACUACGUGCCAGCAGCCGCGGUAAUACGUAGGUGGCAAGCGUUAUCCGGAAUUAUUGGGCGUAAAGCGCGCGUAGGCGGUUUUUUAAGUCUGAUGUGAAAGCCCACGGCUCAACCGUGGAGGGUCAUUGGAAACUGGAAAACUUGAGUGCAGAAGAGGAAAGUGGAAUUCCAUGUGUAGCGGUGAAAUGCGCAGAGAUAUGGAGGAACACCAGUGGCGAAGGCGACUUUCUGGUCUGUAACUGACGCUGAUGUGCGAAAGCGUGGGGAUCAAACAGGAUUAGAUACCCUGGUAGUCCACGCCGUAAACGAUGAGUGCUAAGUGUUAGGGGGUUUCCGCCCCUUAGUGCUGCAGCUAACGCAUUAAGCACUC
rnacentral:rRNA from 2 species